rnacentral:rRNA from 1 species
CCUACGGGAGGCAGCAGUGGGGGAUAUUGCACAAUGGGGGGAACCCUGAUGCAGCGACGCCGCGUGGGUGAAGGAGUGCUUCGGCAUGUAAAGCACUAUCGGCAGGGAAGAAGCAAGACGGUACCUGACUAAGAAGCCCCGGCUAACUACGUGCCAGCAGCCGCGGUAAUACGUAGGGGGCGAGCGUUAUCCGGAUUCACUGGGUGUAAAGGGAGCGUAGACGGCCAUGCAAGCCAGGGGUGAAAGCCCGGGGCCCAACCCCGGGACUGCCCUUGGAACUGUGCGGCUAGAGUGCGGGAGGGGCAGGCGGAAUUCCUGGUGUAGCGGUGAAAUGCGUAGAUAUCAGGAGGAACACUGGCGGCGAAGGCGGCCUGCUGGACUGCGACUGACGUUGAGGCUCGAAAGCGUGGGGAGCGAACAGGAUUAGAUACCCCAGUAGUC